rnacentral:rRNA from 1 species
AGUGAACGCUGGCGGCGUGCUUAACACAUGCAAGUCGAACGAGAACGGGUUAUAGCUUGCUAUAAUUGUCAGCUAAGUGGCGCACGGGUGAGUAAUGUAUAGGUAAUAUGCCUCUUACUAAGGGAUAACAGUUGGAAACGAUUGCUAAUACCUUAUACUCCUUGUUAACAGAAGUUAAUAAGGGAAAGAUUUAUUGGUAAGAGAUUAGCCUGUAUUGUAUCAGUUAGUUGGUGGGGUAAUGGCUUACCAAGACUAUGACACAUAACUGGUUUGAGAGGAUGAUCAGUCACACUGGAACUGAGACACGGUCCAGACUCCUACGGGAGGCAGCAGUGGGGAAUAUUGCACAAUGGACGAAAGUCUGAUGCAGCAACGCCGCGUGGAGGAUGACACAUUUCGGUGCGUAAACUCCUUUUAUAUGAGAAGAUAAUGACGGUAUUAUAUGAAUAAGCACCGGCUAACUCCGUGCCAGCCGCCGCCGUAA